rnacentral:piRNA from 1 species
UCCUCUGAAGGGCUGUCUAGUUCACAGCCAGU